GGGUAGAAUGCAUAAUUUAUGGACCGAAAAGUAACAAAUUUUUUUUUAGUAUGGGGUGAAAUCGUAAUUUUAAAAAAUUAAAGGAUCAAAUUGUAAAUUAGUUGACAUUUGGCAGCUCCUCCAUCACUCAUUUUGGCACAUGGGCUGGAUUUUUAUCGUCUCCGGUAGAGAUAAGAAUAGGAAAGAGAAGAGGGGAGGAAAAAAGAAGAAAACAGAGAAAAGGAGAUAAAAGAAAAGAAAAAGAGGAAAAGAAAGAGAGAGAGGAGAGUUUCAAACUUCAUUUGCUUUAGGGAUCAAUCAAAUUUUGGUAGAAAAUGAUGGUUUAUGAUGAGAUUUUGUAAGUUUUAGAGAGAGAAACAAAUAGUUUUGGUUAGAGAGAGAGUGGAUUUGAAGCAAAAAUUUUAUUUUCAACACUUUUCUUAGAUUAUGUAGAUAUUUAUGAUUAUCCUUAAUUCUUGGAUCAUUCUGAAGUAAGGGGAAGAAGUGGUUGCUUCUGUUCUUUUGUGUUCCUCGAUUUCGUAUUGAAUUUAUCUUUCCCCUAAUCCUCAAAAAGAAAAAGAGGAAGAUCUUUAGCUUCAUAAACUUGUCUGAUCCUUGAGGUUGUUGAAAAGGGUGGCACUUUGCAUCUUUGGGAGAUAAAUAAGAUCUCCUUCAUCAAUUUUCUAUCCUUAAACUCACUUCCUUUGCAAAGAGAUAUCCAUGGCGGCCGAGGUAGUAGCAGGAGCAUUUCUCUCCAGCAUGUUCCAGUUUUUGUUUGAGAGGAUGGAUUCUCCCGAGAUUGCUGCAUUUUUUAAGGGCCACAAACUCGACCUUUCACAAGUGAAGAAGUUGAAGGUUGCUAUGAUCACUGUUACUGGAUUGCUUGAUCACGCCGAGGAAAAGCAGAUUGUUGUGCCUGCUGUGAAGAAGUGGCUUGAUGAGCUCAAAGAUGCGGCCUAUGAGGCUGAUGACUUGUUGGAUGAGAUU
rnacentral:misc_RNA from 1 species